rnacentral:lncRNA from 1 species
UUUUUUCUGAUUUUUCCCCCAUUUUUGCCCAUUUUAUUCUGUUUUUUUCCUGAAUUUUUUCUUAUUUUAUUUCCAUUUUUUUUCUGAUUUUUUCCCCAAUUUAUUCUGAUUUUUCCCUGAUUUUUUUCUGAUUUUAUUUCCAUUAUUUUCCCCAUUUUCCCCCCAUUUUUUGCCCAUUUUAUUCUGAUUUUUCCCCCAUUUUUCCCCAUUUUAUUCUGAUUUUUUUCCCCAUUUUUCCCCAUUUUAUUCUGAUUUUUUCCCCAUUUUUCCCCAUUUUAUUCUGAUUUUUUUCAGAUUUUAUUUCCAUUUUUUACUGAUUUUUUCCCCAUUUCCCCCCCAUUUUUUGCCCAUUUCAUUCUGAUUUUUUCCUGAAUUUUUUCAGAUUUUAUUUCCAUUUUAUUCCCAUUUUUUGCCCAUUUUAUUCUGAUUUUUUCCCCCAUUUUUCCCCAUUUUAUUCUGAUUUUUUCCCCAUUUUUUGCCCGUUUUAUUCUGAUUUUUGCCUCUUUUCCAGGGCCAGACUCCCCUGCAGACUCUCCAGGAGUGGCUGCAGAAUUUCGGGCCUGAAUUGGACUCUGAGACCUGGCAGAGCUCCCAGGAAACGCUCAGGAUGCUCCUGGAAAAAGCUCCUCCAGAAGACCCCGAACGACCCCAAACCCCAAAAUCCCGAAAAUCCAACUCAGAAAACCCCAAAAUUCCAGAAAAAAACCCCAAAAUUCCACCAGAAAAAAACCCCAAAAUUCCAGAAAAAAACCCCAAAAUUCCACCAGAAAAAAACCCCAAAAUUCCAAGAGAAAAUCCCAAUUUUUUACCCAAAAAUUCCAAUUUUUUGCCUGAAAAUCCCGAAUUUUUACCCCCAAAUUCCAAUUUUUUCCCUGAAAAUUCCGAUUUUUCAUCCAAAACUUCCAAUUUGUCAUCCAAAAAUUCAAAUUUUUCAUCCAAAAAUCCCAAUUUUUUGCCUGAUAAUCCCAAUUUUUUCCCCGAAAAUUCCGAUUUUUUGCCGGAAAAUUCCGAUUUUUUGCCCCAAAAUUCUGAUUUUUCACCCCAAAAUUCCUGCCCAGCCCUGAUUCCCGAGGAGGAAUUCCUGGAGCAGCAGGAUUGGCUCGAGGACGAUUUGGGACCAGCCAGGAAAAAACCUCGAAGGAAAUUUCGGGAAUUUCCAGAUCCCAAAAUUCCCAAAAUUUCCAAAAUUUCUAAAAAAGGGAAAAAAUCCCAAAUUUUGGAGGAUUUGGGGAAUUCUGAGGUCCAAAAUGGCUCCAAAUCGUUGGGAAUUCCGGAAUUUUCUGGGAAUUCUGGGGAAUUUUCUGGGAAUUCUGGGGAAAUUCCGGAAUUUUCUGGGAAUUCUGGGGAAGUUCUGGAAGGUUCCGGGCAGGCGAAGGCGGCGCUGAGGAUCCGGAUCCGAAUCCAGGCCGAGCUUUUCCUCAUCCCUGUGGGGACCAGGUGAGAGCAAAAAAUCCCCAAAAAAUCCCCCAAAAAAUCCCAAAAAAUCCCCCCAAAAUUCCCAAAAAAUUCACAAAAAUAUUCCCAAAAAUUUCCCUAAAAUUCCACAAAAAUCCCAAAAAAAUCCUCCCAAAAAUUCCCUAAAAAUUCCAAAAAAAUCCCCCAAAAAUUCACAAAAAAUCCUCCACAAAUUCACAAAAAAAUCUCCCCCAUAAUUCACAAAAUUUCCAAAAAAAUUCCUCAAAAAAUCCUCCAAAAAUUCCCAAAAAAUCCCCCCAAAAUCCCUAAAAAUUCUCCAAAAUUUUCCCAAAAAUUCCCCAAAAAUUCCCUAAAAAAACCUCAAAAUUCACCAAAAAAAUCCCCCAAAAUUCACAAAAAAAUCCCCCCAAAAUUCCUAAAAAUCCCCCCAAAAAUUCUGAAAAAUUCUCCAAAAUUCCCUAAAAAUUCACAAAAAAUCCCCCCCCAAAUUCACAAAAAAAUUCCCAAAAAAUUCCUAAAUAAUCCCCCAAAAAUGCCCAAAAAAUCCCCCCAAAAUUCCCAAAAAAUCCCCCCCAAAUUCCCAAAAAAAUUCCCAAAAAAUCCCAAAAAAUUCCUAAAAAAUCCCCAAAAAUUCCCCAAAAAUCCUCCUCAAAUUCACCAAAAAAUUCCCAAAAAAUCCCCAAAACUUCCUAAAUAAUCCCCAAAAUUAUCAAAAAAU